AUGUCAUAUCUUCUGUGUUCACAGUUAACCUGCAGACUCAGUUAUUCUACCACCAUUCUCAACAAAAAUAUGAUCCAAAUAACACUGGUUACAACAGAUGACCAAAGAAUAAGAGCAAAAUCACAGCAUCCACCAACAGUUUCCAGGCAAAAUAACCCUCUCCGGGCAUCUCAUUUUGAUCUAGCUGUUGACGACGGCGCAGUGCUUCCUGAUCUCCCCCUGAGAGCCGGUCUUGACCUGCACGGCGCCCAGCCUCGCCAUGGACCACGCAAACACCUGGAAGAACACCUCCGGCGGGCUUGA
rnacentral:rRNA from 1 species